rnacentral:rRNA from 1 species
AGGACGAACGCUGGCGGCGUGCUUAACACAUGCAAGUCGAGCGGAAAGGCCUUUCGGGGUACUCGAGCGGCGAACGGGUGAGUAACACGUGAGUAAUCUGCCCAUCGCUU